rnacentral:rRNA from 1 species
UACGUAGGGUGCAAGCGUUAAUCGGAAUUACUGGGCGUAAAGCGUGCGCAGGCGGUUAUGCAAGACAGAUGUGAAAUCCCCGGGCUCAACCUGGGAACUGCAUUUGUGACUGCAUGGCUAGAGUACGGUAGAGGGGGAUGGAAUUCCGCGUGUAGCAGUGAAAUGCGUAGAUAUGCGGAGGAACACCGAUGGCGAAGGCAAUCCCCUGGACCUGUACUGACGCUCAUGCACGAAAGCGUGGGGAGCGAACAGG